rnacentral:rRNA from 1 species
CCAAUAGCGUAUAUUAAAGUUGUUGCAGUUAAAAAGCUCGUAGUUGAAUUUCGGGACCAUCAUGUCGGUCGUGCUUAGGUACGUACUGGCAUUUUUGGUUUCUCCCUUCUGACGAACCAUGAUGUCAUUUAUUUGGUGUCGUGGGGAAUCAGGACUGUUACUUUGAAAAAAUUAGAGUGUUUAAAGCAGGCUCACGCUUGAAUACAUUAGCAUGGAAUAAUGAAAUAGGACGUUUGAUUCUAUUUUGUUGGUUUCUAGGAUCGACGUAAUGAUUAAUAGGGAUAGUUGGGGGCAUUAGUAUUCAAUUGUCAGAGGUGAAAUUCUUGGAUUUAUUGAAGACUAACUACUGCGAAAGCAUUUGCCAAGGAUGUUUUCAUUAAUCAAGAACGAAAGUUAGGGGAUCGAAGACGAUCAGAUACCGUCGUAGUCUUAACCAUAAACUAUGCCGACUAGGGAUCGGAUGAUGUUAAUUUUUUAAUGACUCAUUCGGCGCCUUACG